UUUCAGCUGACAAGUCUUUCCUUUCACAAUGUAUUUGUGCAGACUUGGGGGUGUCCCUGUAUCCAGAGUCUCUUUAUUUAUUCCUAAUUUAGUGCAAGUUAUGUACUGUAGCUUUGUGCUUUGUCUAAGAGCCCUAAGAAAACUGCUCACCAAGUAAUGAAGGCCAGCUGCCAACAUUUAAAGAAGAGUCUCAUCAGCGAAUCCAGAAGCCGAGAGUUGGGGGCAGCCUGUGUGGAGUAAGAUUUCCUCAUCGUGACGAUGUCCUGGGCCCAUUUAUGGCAGAUUUGUUUAAUAGAAUAACAAUUUCAUUGCAGCAGCAGAAUGGUGUAAAACCAGCCAAGAGGUUUGGGGAGCUCUGGCCUACGCAGGUGAUGUUCAGUAGUAGAUUCAGUAGUGUGUGUGGCACCUUCAGGGUAGAAAUGCAUGCCUCAACUGGAGAAAUGAUUGUGUAGGCCAAAUUCCUCCAUUUAUUGAGCAAACUGCUUGAGUUCAUCUGCUCUUACAAUGUGGCCUAGGUGCUGGCAUCUGAUAGGGCCCUAAAAUCUACCAGGUGUUGUUGCCCCACAGCAGGGUACAUUUGGACGAGGCACUUGCUUUUCUGCAAGUGGACACUGCAGCUCUGUGAAAUAUUUGAUUAUUGGGGGUCCAGGUUAAGCCACCAUCAGGCAUGCGCCAACUAACUAGCAAGCAACUAGAGGGGGCAGGCCCUGGUGCGGGAUGCGCAGCCGGGACCCCCCGUACGCCCGGAACCGCCCAGAAUAAGUGGCGCAAGAGCUGCCGGGGGGGCCUGGAGGGGGUGCGGGCCCUGGCCCAAUUGCACCCCCUGCUCCCCUGGUAGUUACGCCACUGCUAGCAAGGCCCCCAUUCCUUACCAGGGCUAAAGCAUUUGCAUACCAGUUCUUGGCCCAAAUAACAUCUAGCUGCCUAAACCACAUCUUUAGAAGCAUGAUCAGUGCUUUUAACAAUUUUGGCAAAAAAAUAAUUUUUGCAACCUGGCAGAAACAAUGGUAGACUUGAGUUGAAGUUUCAUUUUCAAGGACUGGAUUAUUUGAGUUAAAUUCAGUUCUGUGUAUUUCUUUCGGUCCCUUUAAACAGCAAUACCAAUAUUUGAGAAGGAGAGCCACUGUGGUUGUUGUCCAUGCUGCUGGUCCCUAAUAUUCCUGGAGUCUAUGGUGGACACCACAGAUUUCACCCAGUUGACCCUUAGGCAUUGGAAACUCCCAAAUGUUGUGACCUUUGUGAGGAGUGCAGAUGGAGAGUCUAACAGUAGUAGGAAUAUCAUCAUAUAAUCUGUAUAAAGCCACAUUUUCUCCUCCAGUCUCUGUAUUUUGAGCCCCUCUAUCCUUGUUUUUUUUGUAUUCAUAAAGCUAGGGCAAAGAUUGGGGAGAUAAGGGGCACCCCUGUCUAGUGCCCCUGAACUCCUGAAACAUCUCUUCAUUCAAUAGUAUUGUGGCUCUCGGGCAGUCAUUAAUGGCUUUCACCCACAGAAUAUAUUGGUCGCACACAUACAGUGUGUGGCCAAUAGAUGCUCUUAAUUUGGUGGCAAUGGCCCUGUAAGGCAUAAACCCAGUCUGAUCAGGGAGAAUGAAGUUCUCAAAGACCACUUUGAGUCUGUUUGUGAGGACCUUGGGCAGCACCUUGACAUCUGAGUUUGAAAACAAAAUGGGUCUUUAUGAUUUUCCCUGUUUUGAGAAUAUGUGUGAUCAUGGCUAGUUUAGAGCUGUCAGGUAAGACUUACCCCCUGUGGCAUAGAAUUGAAAAGGGAACAGAGCCUGGGCACUACUAGGACUUUGUAUUAUUUAAUGUGGGGGGACUUUCCAUUGGGGAGCAUAUAUAUGGCUUCAGUGAUCUCUUCAGGAGUGAUCUGCCUAUUGAGAUCUCAAGAUUCAGUCUGGGAAUCGGAAUGUCAUUUAGGUACUGACAAAGGGACUCCAAGGUGCAUUGAAUUUUUCAUCAGUACAUAUUGGAAUAGAAUUUGAGAAAUUGGGAAGGAAUCUGGUCCUGAGCAGGGACAGGAGUUUAUCACUUUUAUCCUGACAGGUAUGCACUUUAUCUUUAAAUUAAUGAUACAUAAACUUUGCUGUCGCUGCCCCCCACAGACCCUGGAUAUUGUGUGCCCCCAAACAAGAUCCUGAACCCGCUGUGCUGGUUAUUAAAGGGAUACUGUCAUGGGAAAAAAAAUUUUU